AGAGGAUUGGCCAUAUCAGGAGGCUCGACGGCUUUUUAAAGAACCAGUUGUCCUUGCUGAUGAAGAGGAGCCUGAGAUUAAAUGGACUGCCCCAGAUGAAGAGGGACUGAUUACUUUCCUGGUGAAUGAAAAUGGUUUCAAUAGUGACCGGGUGACAAAGGCAAUAGAAAAAAUUAAAGCAGCUAAGAACAAGUCAUCACAGGGCAGAUUGGAAUCAUUUUUCAAGCCAGUUGCCAACUCAUCUAUACCUAUUAAACGAAAGGAAACACCAGAUAACAAUGCUAAAGAAACUACUGCUAAGAAAUCCAAGGCCGGAGGUGGUAGGAAGAAGAAGUAGCUAAUUUGGCAUUAAAACCUCAUCCUCACAUGGCUGGUAAUCAGGUCAAAAUUGUGAUCUAUCAUUUAUGACAAGUUAUUUGCCUGCAACAUAUUUUCUUGUUAGUGUAUGACUUCCUAGUUUCAGUUCAUGUUGUGGAGCAGUUAAUGUAAUGCGCGUUUCGUUUCAUGCCUAUGAUGGGU
rnacentral:misc_RNA from 1 species